GUAAAAAGCGAAAGAUUGCAUUUGAUUUCGGAUCAAACUUUGAAGAUAUUUUUUCUUUACAUUA
rnacentral:tRNA from 1 species